GCUACCUCUUAACAAAAACUGCUGUUUCUAGACCUUUGUUUUUGGUUUUGGAUGACAAUUUUUAUUAUCAGAGUAUGAGAUAUGAAGUCUACCAGCUGGCUCGGAAAUAUUCAUUGGGCUUUUGCCAGCUCUUUUUAGAUUGUCCUCUUGAGACCUGUUUACAGAGGAAUGGCCAGAGGCCACAGGCACUGCCUCCUGAGACCAUCCACCUGAUGGGAAGAAAGCUAGAAAAGCCCAACCCUGAGAAAAAUGCUUGGGAACACAACAGCCUCACAAUUCCGAGUCCAGCAUGUGCUUCAGAGUCCAGCCUGGAGGUGACUGAUUUAUUGCUCACUGCUUUGGAAAAUCCAGUAAAAUAUGCUGAGGACAAUAUGGAACAAAAGAUGAACAAGUGCUUCCUCACAACUUGAAGCUUCUAGCAGAAGAACUUAACAAGCUCAAAGCAGAGUUUUUGGAAGACCUAAAACAAGGAAACAAAAAAUAUCUGUGCUUUCAUCAAACCAUUGACAUAUCAGAUGUCAUUUCUUUUUUUCAUUAUGAGAAAGAUAAUAUUGUACAGAAAUAUUUUUCAAAGCAGCAUUAAAAUUUCUGAAUUGCCAAUC
rnacentral:sRNA from 1 species